GAUGAACGUUGGCGGCGUGCCUAAUACAUGCAAGUCGAACGAAGACUGUAGUAAUACUGUCUUAGUGGCGAACGGGUGAGUAACGCGUGGGUGACCUGCCCCGAAGUGUGGGAUAACAGUCCGAAAGGAUUGCUAAUACUGCAUAAUAUCCAAGAGAUUAGACGCUUUCGGAUUAAAGGAGUAAUUCGCUUCGGGAGGGGCCCGCGUCCCAUCAGCUAGUUGGUAAGGUAAUGGCUUACCAAGGCGAUGACGGGUAGGGGACCUGAGAGGGUGGCCCCCCACAAUGGAACUGAAACACGGUCCAUACACCUACGGGUGGCAGCAGUAGGGAAUAUUAGUAAUGGGCGAAAGCCUGAACUAGCAACGCCGCGUGUGCGAAGAAGGCCUUCGGGUCGUAAAGCACUUUUUGAGAGGAUGAGGAAGGACGGUACUCUCAGAAUAAGUCUCGGCUAACUACGUG
rnacentral:rRNA from 1 species